rnacentral:rRNA from 1 species
UGGGGAAUCUUGGACAAUGGGCGCAAGCCUGAUCCAGCCAUGCCGCGUGAGCGAUGAAGGCCUUAGGGUUGUAAAGCUCUUUCACCGGUGAAGAUAAUGACGGUAGCAGGUAAAGAAACCCCGGCUAACUCCGUGCCAGCAGCCGCGGUAAUACGGAGGGGGUUAGCGUUGUUCGGAAUUACUGGGCGUAAAGCGCACGUAGGCGGACCAGAAAGUUGGGGGGUGAAAUCCCGGGGGGCUCAACCCCCGGAACUGCCUCCAAAACUAUUGGUCUAGAGUUCGAGAGAGGUGAGUGGAAUUCCAAGUGUAGAGGUGAAAAUUCGUAGAUAUUUGGAGGAACACCAGUGGCGAAGGCGGCUCACUGGCUCGAUACUGACGCUGAGGUGCGAAAGUGUGGGGAGCAAAACAGGAUUAGAUACCCUGGUAGUCCACACCGUAAAACGAUGAAUGCCAGUCGUCGGGUAGCAUGCUAUUCGGUGACACACCUAACGGAUUAAGCAUUCCGCCUGGGGAGUACGGUCGCAAGAUU